rnacentral:rRNA from 1 species
AGCUGAGUUUGAUCCUGGCUCAGAACGAACGUUGGCGGCGUGGAUUAGGCAUGCAAGUCGGGGGUGCCAGCAAUGGCAACCGGCGUAAGGGGCAGUAAGGCAUGGGUACCUACCCUGGGGUUCGGGAUAGCCAUCAGAGAUGGUGGGUAAUACCGGAUGACCUGGCGACAGCAAAGAUUUAUCGCCCUGGGAGGGGCCCAUGUGAUAUUAGCUAGUUGGCGGGGUAAUGGCCCACCAAGGCUUAGAUGUCUAGCGGGUGUGAGACGCACGACCCGUGCCACUCGCACUGACGACA